GUUAGCAUAUUAAUUAGGGGAGGAAAAGAAACUAACAAGGAUUAUCUUAGUAGCGUCAAGCGCAAAGAAAACAGUUUAGCACUAAGUCACUUUGUCUACACGGCAAAUGUGAGAUGCAGUGUAUGGAGCGUCAAUAUUCUAGUAUGAGAAAUUAACGAUUUAAUUAACGUAUAAAGUUAAUGAUUACUAGAUGAUAUUUCCAAAGAGUCGUGUUGCUUGAAAGUGCAGCACUAAGUGGGUGGUAAACUCCAUCUAAAACUAAAUAUAACCAUGAGACCGAUAGUAAACAAGUACCGUGAGGGAAAGUUGAAGAGAACUCUGGAUAGAGAGUUAAACAGUACGUGAGACUGCUUAGAGGUUAAGCCGGAUGAACCUGAAUAUCCGUUAUGGAAAAUUCAUCAUUAAAAUUGUAAUAUUUAAAUAAUAUUAUGAGGAUAGUGUAACAGACAUUGUAAUCUAUUAGCAUAUACCAAAUGAUUAUCAUUGAUUUUUUUGUUUAUUAUAUGCACUUGUAUGAUUAACAAUGCGAAAGCUUCAGGAUACCUUCGGGACCCGUCUUGAAACACGGACCAAGGAGUCUAGCAUAUGUGCAAGUUAUUGGGAUAUAAACCUAAUAGCGUAAUUAACUUGAUUAAUAAUGGGAUUAGUUUUUUAACUAUUUAUAGCUAAUUAACACAUUCCCGGGGCGUUCUAUAUAGUUAUGUAUAAUGUAUAUUUAUAUUAUUUAUGCCUCUAACUGGAACGUAUCAUACUUGAUCAGGUUGAAGUCAGGGGAAACCCUGAUGGAAGACCGAAACAGUUCUUGCAAAUCGAUUGUCAGAAUUGAGUAUAGGGGCGAAAGACCAAUUGAACCAUCUAGUAGCUGGUUCCUUCCAAAGUUUCCCUCAGGAUAGCUGGUGCAUUUUAAUAUUAUAUAAAAUAAUCUUAUCUGGUAAAGCGAAUGAUUAGAGGCCUUAGGGUCGAAACGAUCUUAACCUAUUCUCAAACUUUAAAUAGGUAAGAACCUUAACUUUCUUGAUAUGAAGUUCAAGGUUAUGAUAUAAUGUGCCCAGUGGGCCACUUUUGGUAAGCAGAACUGGCGCUGUGGGAUGAACCAAACGUAAUGUUACGGUGCCCAAAUUAACAACUCAUGCAGAUACCAUGAAAGGCGUUGGUUGCUUAAAACAGCAGGACGGUGAUCAUAGAAGUCGAAAUCCGCUAAGGACUGUGUAACAACUCACCUGCCGAAGCAACUAGCCCUUAAAAUGGAUGGCGCUUAAGUUUUAUACCUAUACGUUACCGCUAAAGUAGAUGAUUUAUAUUACUUGUGAUAUAAAUUUUGAAACUUUAGUGAGUAGGAAGGUACAAUGGUAUGCGUAGAAGUGUUUGGCGUAAGCCUGCAUGGAGCUGCCAUUGGUACAGAUCUUGGUGGUAGUAGCAGAUAAUCGAAUGAGACCUUGGAGGACUGAAGUGGAGAAGGGUUUCGUGUGAACAGUGGUUGAUCACGAGUUAGUCGGUCCUAAGUUCAAGGCGAAAGCCGAAAAUUUUCAAGUAAAACAAAAAUGCCAAAUUAUAUAAAAAAAGCGAAAAUAAUACACUUGAAUAAUUUUGAACGAAAGGGAAUACGGUUCCAAUUCCGUAACCUGUUAUUAAAUAUGGGCCUCGUGCUCAUCCUGGCAACAGGAACGACCAUAUAGAAGCCGUCGAGAGAUAUCGGAAGAGUUUUCUUUUCCGUCUUAUAGCCGUACUACCAUGGAAGUCUUUCGCAGAGAGAUAUCGAUAUUUUCUCCUCGGACCUUGAAAAUUUAUGGUGGGGACACGCAAACUUCUCAAAAGGCCGUACCAAUAUCCGCAGCUGGUCUCCAAGGUGAAGAGUCUCUAGUCGAUAGAAUAAUGUAGGUAAGGGAAGUCGG
rnacentral:rRNA from 1 species